GGGGGGGGGGGGGGGGGGGGGUGGCGCGGGGGGGGCGGGGGGCGGGGCGGUGAGGGCUGGCUCUUACGGGUGGCGAGUGGCGGACGGGUGAGGAGGACAUCGGAAUCUACUUUUUCGUGGGGGAUAACGUAGGGAAACUUACGCUAAUACCGCAUACGACCUACGGGUGGAAGCAGGGGAUCUUCGGACCUUGCGCGAUUGACUGAGCCGAUGUCGGAUUAGCUAGUUGGCGGGGUAAAGGCCCACCAAGGCGACGAUCCGUAGCUGGUCUGAGAGGAUGAUCAGCCACACUGGAACUGAGACACGGUCCAGACUCCUACGGGAGGCAGCAGUGGGGAAUAUUGGACAAUGGGCGCAAGCCUGAUCCAGCCAUACCGCGUGGGUGAAGAAGGCCUUCGGGUUGUAAAGCCCUUUUGUUGGGAAAGAAAAGCAGCAGGUUAAUACCCCGCUGUUCUGACGGUACCCAAAGAAUAAGCACCGGCUAACUUCGUG
rnacentral:rRNA from 1 species